rnacentral:lncRNA from 1 species
UAUCACAAUAUUGGAUACGACAUCUAGGUCUUGUUCAACAGGGCAGAUUGAUGCAUUUUGAGACGAAUUUUUUGUUGAAGAUUUAGUUAGAUUUUAUUACUUUUAUUUAGAAAUAUGAUUAUAUGAUUUUUUAGAUAGUUUUGAAGAUCAAAUCAGAUUUAAAUGUGAUUUAAAUUUGAAUUUGAAAUAAACCAAAUCAUAUCUUUC